AGCGAACGCUGGCGGCAGGCCUAACACAUGCAAGUUGAACGAACCUUUCGGGGUUAGUGGCGGACGGGUGAGUAACACGUGGGAACGUGCCUUUAGGUUCGGAAUAACUCAGGGAAACUUGUGCUAAUACCGAAUGUGCCCUUCGGGGGAAAGAUUUAUCGCCUUUAGAGCGGCCCGCGUCUGAUUAGCUAGUUGGUUGAGGUAAUGGCUCACCAAGGCGACGAUCAGUAGCUGGUCUGAGAGGAUGAUCAGCCACAUUGGGACUGAGACACGGCCCAAACUCCUACGGGAGGCAGCAGUGGGGAAUCUUGCGCAAUGGGCGAAAGCCUGACGCAGCCAUGCCGCGUGAAUGAUGAAGGUCUUAGGAUUGUAAAAUUCUUUCACCGGGGACGAUAAUGACGGUACCCGGAGAAGAAGCCCCGGCUAACUUCGUG
rnacentral:rRNA from 1 species